rnacentral:rRNA from 1 species
UGGGGAAUAUUGCACAAUGGAGGGAACUCUGAUGCAGCGACGCCGCGUGAGUGAUGAAGGACUUCGUUUCGUAAAACUCUGUUCUAUGGGAAGAAAAGGACUGUACCAUAGGAGAAAGCUCCGGCUAAAUACGUGCCAGCAGCCGCGGUAAUACGUAUGGAGCGAGCGUUGUCCGGAAUUAUUGGGCGUAAAGGGUGCGCAGGCGGCUUUACAAGUUGGAUGUGAAAUAUUGUGGCUCAACCACAAACGUGCAUCCAAAACUGAAAAGCUUGAGUUAAGGAGAGGUAAGUGGAAUUCCUGGUGUAGCGGUGGAAUGCGUAGAUAUCAGGAGGAAUACCGGUGGCGAAGGCGACUUACUGGACUUAAACUGACGCUCAGGCACGAAAGCGUGGGGAGCAAACAGG